AGAGUUUGAUCAUGGCUCAGGAUGAACGCUGGCGGCGUGCCUAACACAUGCAAGUCGAACGAGAAGCUAACUUAUGAUUCCUUCGGGAUGAUGAAGUCAGCAGAAAGUGGCGAACGGGUGAGUAACGCGUGGGUAAUCUACCCUAUAAGUGGGGGAUAACCCUCCGAAAGGAGGGCUAAUACCGCAUAAUAUCUUCACUUCUACAAGAAGAGAAGAUUAAAGAUGGUCUCUAUACUAUGCUAUCGCUUCAGGAUGAGCCUGCGUCCUAUUAGUUAGUUGGUGGGGUAAUGGCCUACCAAGACCACAAUGGGUAGCCGGUCUGAGAGGAUGUACGGCCACACUGGGACUGAGAUACGGCCCAGACUCCUACGGGAGGCAGCAGUGGGGAAUAUUGCGCAAUGGGGGAAACCCUGACGCAGCGACGCCGCGUGGAUGAUGAAGGCCCUUGGGUUGUAAAGUCCUGUUCUGGGGGAAGAAAGCUUAAGGGUCCAAUAAACCCUUAAGCCUGACGGUACCCCAAGAGAAAGCUCCGGCUAAUUAUGUGCCAGCAGCCGCGGUAAUACAUAAGGAGCAAGCGUUAUC
rnacentral:rRNA from 1 species